GUUACCUAUAACAUUGUAAAGGGAGAGGCGGCCUACUCAUUUUGACUUAGCACCAGGUGAUGAUGUGUAUGUCAUACCCAAAGGGACUUGGGCUUUGACUCUGAAUAGGAUCCCAGUUUAUGGUGGGAUUCCACUCUCACACCAAGCAAGGAAGCCAGAGGAAGGACUCUUCCCCUUGCCCCCAGGCUGAAGAGCAAAGUGUGAAACCACCCAACAGUCUUUGGAAACAGGAAAAAGACAGAGAAAGGAAUCCAGCCCAAAGGUCCUCCUUCCUGGUUAUGCCUUGGCUUUUCCAGAGGCCCUGUGUGACUGCGCGCUGAGAAACUCGCAGGAUAUUGUGCUGGUUGGUGCUUUAAACUAAAACCUAACAGCAGCCACAGAUCCAAUUAAAAGAGCUUCCUUAGUACUUGUCCUGGCGCAGGUUUAUUUACACACAUAGCAAGCACUUCAGGAUAUCAACUCUGUGUAGACAGCAGCCCAGGAAAACGCCAGUCUUUUUGCCCUCACACGGAGAGCUGAAGCCCUCUGUCCCAGAGUCUUCUCAGGACUCAGGAUUGUUGGCCUUGGCACUGACCAGCAGAGCCCGAGACGUUUGUGAUGUGGGCACCCAAGCACCGGGGAUGUGAUGGGCUUCUGUAUUUCAGCAUGGGUAAUGUGGACAAAUUGAACUUUAACGCUCCUGAAACACUGGGAAUUGUGACUUCCACGGGAUUGACCAGGGCCAGGAGGGGCUAUGCCUAGCACUGUCACCACGGGUGGGGCCACAGCUCUGUAACGCUCCUUCUGGUUCUUGGCAAACCGUGUGUUUGUCAGAAGCUGCUUUAUGGUUUCUAGAGUUUUGUUUCGUCUAUGAUUUCUGUGCUAUUGUGGGGACUGUGCUGUGCCUACCCAGUAGCUGGACAGUUUUAUCUACAUUGAUUGCCAUGCUACUGUAAGAUUGAGCUAUCUAUUAUCUAUCAUCCAUCUAUAAUCUAUUGUCUAUUUAUUAUCUUUCAUCCAUCUAGCAUCUAUCUACUUUCUACCUGUCAUCUAUUAAUCUAUCUUCCAUCUAUCAUCUAUUUAUUUAUCUAUUUAUCAUCUAUCACCCAUCUACCUACCAUCUACUUUUCUAUCUAUCAUCUACCUAUCAUCUAUAAUCAUCUAUCUACCUAUCUAUCUAUCUAUCUAUCUAUCUAUCUAUCUAUCUAUCUAUCUAUCUAUCUAUCUGUUAUCAUCAUCUUACUAUGGACUCAUAGAUUCCAAUUUUAUUAAAUGGUUUUAUAGUUUCAUGCUACAUGUAUAAAUAUUUGUUUAUAUUUU
rnacentral:lncRNA from 1 species